rnacentral:lncRNA from 1 species
AUAUAUAUAUUAAGUAUACUUUAUAACUAUACGUCAGUUAGUCGAUAGUGCAAUCUGAUGGCGAUUUAAUAUAAGCUACAUUUGCAAUAUAUUUCGCUAAUUUGCGAUUAUUUGCUAAUUUUACUGCAGUUUUAAUUUAAAUUCAGCCGUUUAGUGGGCCGGCUAUAAUUGUAGUUGUGAUCGUUAUAAAAUAUAUCAACAACAAUAGUAUAAUCUAAUUAGCACCAGCCAAUCAAAUGACAGAUUUAAAAAAUCGUUUGUCUAAUCGGCCAAUCAGACGAAAAAGCCAGAAUCUGUUUUUUUACAUGCGCCGCGGUAAAGAAUUGUACCAGGCCCUCCUUCAUUCGCCUGGCGAAUGAAAACAUAAGGGCCUGGUACUCAGGUUAUUGAUGAUGAUGAUGACGUUGAUAAACGUUUGACAUUUAUACUUUAAUUUAUAACUUGCAUUUUGUUUUGCAAGUUUGAUUUGAUUUGAUUUUAAAGGAAUCCAAGGUAGUUAAUCAGAUAUCUGCUAGAUUUUAACAGAUCACGUGACCAGCUCCUACCAGGGUCUUUCCCCCACAAGAGGUGAGAGCCUGGGGAAGAGGUUGUGUAUGUGCGUGCAUUCUUUUACUCAAGUUUUUUCAAUCAAAAUGUUUUGCAGUGAAUGUGAAGUUGAUUUAUAUGUAAGUGUUAAUUGGUAUAGCCAAGAUUACAUGUAGCGUAUCCACUAAUCUAGGUAAAGUAUAUAAUAUAAUGAAUAUCGUCAAACAAUUGCACUCUACAAUAUUGUGCAAGUUGGUCCAGAAAUAGCGGAUGAAUUUCGUGCUUCCAUCUCUGUUCGUCUGUCAAUGCAUGCCAUAGCAAACAUCUUGAAUUCAGAAUAAUCUAAUUCCUAAUAGAGGAAAUUAAAUUUUGCAUGAAAAAUUGAAAUGCGCAAAAUUUUAUAUUUACAUACACUAGUAACUAAUAAGAAAAUAUUUAAACUCAUUUUUAUAAAAUUGUAACCCAUUUUGAACAAAAACUAUGCAGCUUUUCGUUUAUUUUAGUGCAUUGAAAUGUUUGCACAGUGGCUGUUAAAAGGCUGUACAGUCAAAAUCCUCCAAAAUUAAGUGAUCAUUGGUUUCUCAGUUCUAGAACUUUUUACAAUCAAUUUCAGCUGACUUUUCAUCGUAAGAUUCCGAACUUCGUUCCGAACUUCGCAAAUUCGUUGCCAAGUUCAAAAGUUCAUAAUGAAAUUCACAAACAGGUUUGUAAACUGGGCAUUUGAUUUGCUGGUUUGAUUUAAUAGCCAAUCAGAGGCUUUGUUUACAAACUCCUGUUUGUGAAUUUCAUUAUGAACUUUUGAACUUGGCAACAAAUUUGCGAAGUUCGGAACGAAGUUCGGAAUCUUACGAUGAAAAGUCAGCUGAAAUUGACUGUAAAAGCAUUCAAAUAAUUCAAUAUAUAUUAGAGAAACUAUGUACUGUAUUUAUGAAAAAUACUGGGUCACAGAAUUUUUUCAGGUUGCAGUAAUAGGCACUUCCCUAAUUGAAUGCUGUUCUUAGGGGUGGUAAUCCAAGUGAGUAUAUAUAUACAUUUUAAGACCUGACCAGG